UACGGAGGGUGCAAACGUUGCUCGGAAUCAUUGGGCGUAAAGCGCACGUAGGCGGCCCGAUAAGUCGGGUGUGAAAGCCCUGGGCUCAACCCAGGAAGUGCACUCGAAACUGUCAGGCUUGAAUAUGGAAGAGGGUCGCGGAAUUCCCGGUGUAGAGGUGAAAUUCGUAGAUAUCGGGAGGAACACCAGUGGCGAAGGCGGCGACCUGGGCCAAUAUUGACGCUGAGGUGCGAAAGCGUGGGGAGCAAACAGG
rnacentral:rRNA from 1 species